rnacentral:rRNA from 1 species
UGAAUACGAGAUGCUACGGCGUCGAAGCAGUCUAUGUCAUACUUCCAAGAAAAGCUCGCACUGUCAUAAACAAAUAAUGCCUGUACCAUAACCGACACAGGUGGGUAGGUAGAGUAUACUAAGGGGCGCGAGAUAACUCUCUCUAAGGAACUCGGCAAAAUGACUCCGUAACUUCGGGAGAAGGAGUGCCUUAUUUAUAAGGUUGCAAUAACAAGAUCCAAGCAACUGUUUAUCAAAAACACAGGUCUCCGCUAAGUCGUAAGACGAUGUAUGGGGGCUGACGCCUGCCCAGUGCCAGAAGGUUAAAGAAGUUGGUUAGCAUUCGCGAAGCUGAUAACUGAAGCCCUGGUGAACGGCGGCCGUAACAAUAACGGUCCUAAGGUAGCGAAAUUCCUUGUCGGGUAAGUUCCGACCCGCACGAAAGGCGUAAUGAUUUGGAUACUGUCUCGGAGAGGGGCUCGGUGAAAUAGACUUGUCUGUGAAGAUGCGGACUACCUGCACCAGGACAGAAAGACCCUAUGAAGCUUUACUGUAACUUGAGAUUGAAAUUGGACUUUACUUGCGCAGUAUAGGUGGGAGGCGUUGAUAAUAUUCUUGCGGGAUUAUUUGAGCCAUCAGUGAGAUACCACUCUUGUAAUGUUAGAUUUCUAACUUUGUAUCAUUAUCUGGUCAAAGGACAGUUUCAGGCGGGCAGUUUGACUGGGGCGGUCGCCUCCUAAACGGUAACGGAGGCGCACAAAGGUUUCCUCUGAACGGGUAGAAAUCGUAUCUAGAGUGUAAAGGCAUAAGGAAGCUUGACUGUGAGACCUACAAGUCGAGCAGGGACGAAAGUCGGUCUUAGUGAUCUGACGGUGCUGAGUGGAAAGGCCGUCACUCAACGGAUAAAAGUUACUCUAAGGAUAACAGGCUGAUCUCCCCCAAGAGUUCACAUCGACGGGGAGGUUUGGCACCUGGAUGUCGGCUCAUCGCAUCCUGGGGCGGUAGUACGUCCCAAGGGUUGGGCUGUUCGCCCAUGAAAGCGGUACGCGAGCUGGGUUCAGAACGUCGUGAGACAGUUCGGUCCAUAUCCGGUGUAGGCGUUAGAAUAUUGAGAGGAGCCUUCUUUAGUACGAGAGGACCGAGAAGGACAUACCUCUGGUGUACCAGUUAUCGUGCCAACGGUAAACGCUGGGUAGCUAUGUAUGGAGUGGAUAACCGCUGAAAGCAUCUAAGUGGGAAGCCCACCUCAAGAUAAGUAUUCAC